CAGUCGCCGCGGUAAUACGAAGGGGGCUAGCGUUGUUCGGAUUUACUGGGCGUAAAGCGCACGUAGGCGGACUUUUAAGUCAGGGGUGAAAUCCCGGGGCUCAACCCCGGAACUGCCUUUGAUACUGGGAGUCUUGAGUUCGAGAGAGGUGAGUGGAAUUGCGAGUGUAGAGGUGCAAUUCGUAGAUAUUCGCAGGAACACCAGUGGCGAAGGCGGCUCACUGGCUCGAUACUGACGCUGAGGUGCGAAAGCGUGGGGAGCAAACAGGAUUAGAUACCCCUGUAGUCCCUGUCUCUUAUAC
rnacentral:rRNA from 1 species